rnacentral:rRNA from 1 species
AGUGAACGCUGGCGGUAGGCCUAACACAUGCAAGUCGAACGGCAGCACAGUAAGAGCUUGCUCUUACGGGUGGCGAGUGGCGGACGGGUGAGGCAUACAUCGGAAUCUACUUUUUCGUGGGGGAUAACGUAGGGAAACUUACGCUAAUACCGCAUACGACCUACGGGUGAAAGCAGGGGAUCUUCGGACCUUGCGCGAUUGAAUGAGCCGAUGCCGGAUUAGCUAGUUGGCGGGGUAAAGGCCCACCAAGGCGACGAUCCGUAGCUGGUCUGAGAGGAUGAUCGGCCACACUGGAACUGAGACACGGUCCAGACUCCUACGGGAGGCAGCAGUGGGGAAUAUUGGACAAUGGGCGCAAGCCUGAUCCAGCCAUACCGCGUGGGUGAAGAAGGCCUUCGGGUUGUAAAGCCCUUUUGUUGGGAAAGAAAAGCAGCAGGUUAAUACCCCGCUGUUCUGACGGUACCCAAAGAAUAAGCACCGGCUAACUUCGUG